GGAUUGACAUAUCGGUCGUGUCUUCGGGCAUGUACUGGUAGUUGUUAAUCUCCACCUUCUAGUGAACUAUUAUGCCUUUCACUAGGUGUAAUAGGAAGCUAGGACUGUUACUUUGAAAAAAUUAGAGUGUUUAAAGCAGGCUUUAAGCUUGAAUAGAUUAGCAUGGAAUAACGAAAUAGGACGGCAUGAUUCUAUUUUGUUGGUUUCUAGGAUCACCGUA
rnacentral:rRNA from 1 species